rnacentral:rRNA from 1 species
GACAUAGGUGGCGAACGUUAUCCGGAAUUAUUGGGCGUAAAGCGCACGUAGGCGGCUUGGCAAGUCGGAUGUGAAAUCCCUCGGCUCAACCAAGGAAGUGCAUCCGAAACUGCAGUGCUUGAGUACUUAAGAGGAUCGCGGAAUUCCGGGUGUAGCGGUGGAAUGCGUAGAGAUCCGGAAGAACACCGGUGGCGAAGGCGGUCUGCUGGGCAGUAGCUGACACUGAGGCGCGACAGCGUGGGGAGCAAACAGG